rnacentral:rRNA from 1 species
CCCUUAGAUGUUCUGGGCCGCACGCGCGCUACACUGAACAGUUCAACAAGUCUUAACCUUGGCCGAUAGGUCUGGGUAAUCUUUGAACGCUGUUCGUGAUUGGGAUAGACCUUUGCAAUUAUGGGUCUUCAACGAGGAAUUCCUAGUAAACGCAAGUCAUCAGCUUGCAUUGAUUACGUCCCUGCCCUUUGUACACACCGCCCGUCGCACCUACCGAUUGAGUGAUCCGGUGAAUAAUUCGGACUGCAGCAGUGUUCAGUUCCUGAACGUUGCAGCGGAAAGUUUAGUGAACCUUAUCACUUAGAGGAAGGAGAAGUCGUAACA